CUGAUCUAUUAAGGUUUUGGAUAUUUGAUGGCAUUCUUGAUUAUUUUCUUCCUUGCAGCUUCCCCAAGAUCAAUGCCACACAUAUCAGCCAGCCUAAUGAGGUAUAACAGCACAUCAGAUAACUCCUCCCCAAGAUGCUCUUUAUCAGAUUCC